GACAGCAGUAGCCGCGGUAAUACGUAGGUCCCGAGCGUUAUCCGGAUUUAUUGGGCGUAAAGCGAGCGCAGGCGGUUAGAUAAGUCUGAAGUUAAAGGCUGUGGCUUAACCAUAGUACGCUUUGGAAACUGUUUAACUUGAGUGCAGAAGGGGAGAGUGGAAUUCCAUGUGUAGCGGUGAAAUGCGUAGAUAUAUGGAGGAACACCGGUGGCGAAAGCGGCUCUCUGGUCUGUAACUGACGCUGAGGCUCGAAAGCGUGGGGAGCAAACAGGAUUAGAUACCCCGGUAGUCCCUGUCUCUUAUACA
rnacentral:rRNA from 1 species